rnacentral:tRNA from 2 species
UGCCCCAUAGCCAAGCGGAAAGGCAGCGGUUUUUGGUACCGCCAUCCGUUAGUUCGAAUCUAACUGGGGCAGCCA